rnacentral:rRNA from 1 species
UACGUAGGGUGCGAGCGUUAAUCGGAAUUACUGGGCGUAAAGCGUGCGCAGGCGGUCUGUUAAGACCGAUGUGAAAUCCCCGGGCUUAACCUGGGAACUGCAUUGGUGACUGGCAGGCUUUGAGUGUGGCAGAGGGAGGUAGAAUUCCACGUGUAGCAGUGAAAUGCGUAGAGAUGUGGAGGAAUACCAAUGGCGAAGGCAGCCUCCUGGGCCAACACUGACGCUCAUGCACGAAAGCGUGGGGAGCAAACAGG